UUGCUUCAGCAGCACGUAUACUAAAAUUAGAGGGAUGUAAAAAAGAUUAGCAUGGUCCUUGUGCAAGGAUGACAUGCGAAUUUGUAAAGAGUUCCAUAUUUAA